AAGAGAAAUUAAUUGGUGUUUUUGAAAAGAAUAGGGAUAUUGAUUUGGUAAUAUAAUUAAAUUUACUAAUAUACCGAUAGAUUAAUGUAUUGUGAAAGAUUUUUGAAAAAAUGAAAAAUAAUUUUUUAAGAAGUUAUAUGUUGUACCUUUUGUAUUAGGGAUUAACUAAAUUAAUUAAAUAUUUAUUUGUCCCGAAAAAUUUUGAGCUACUUAUACAUUUUUGUGUUGUUGCAGAAAUAUAAAUUAGUGUUGAGUAGAAAUGAAAUUUUAUUCGAAAAAUUGGAUAUCUGGUUAUUUUAGAAAAAUUAAAUAUUUUAAAUAAUUAGUACAUUUUAAUGAAGUUAUUUAUUUUCUUUUUAGGGAUAAGCUUUAAAAGCGAAUAUAAAGGUAUAAUGAGUAAUUGUUUAAGGUUUAGAAGUUACUAGGUUUUUGUAAUAAAAUAGCUAAAGAAUUUUUUAUGUUUUAUUUGAAUUUUUUUUAAAUAAUUAAAAUUAAGUAAAUUUAUGUUAAUAUCAGUAUAAGUUUUGAUUUUUUUAAAAAUUGAUAAUGUCUUAAUAUAGUGAUUAAAUUUAUAGGAAUUAGGCAAUGGAGAUUUUUGAAUGUUUAUCAAAAACAUUGUAUUUUGAGAUAAUAAAAUAUAAAACCUGCUCAAUGAUGCUUAAAUUGCUGUGGUAUUUUGACUAUACGAAGGUAUUGAAAUAAGGCUUUAAUUGAGUGCUAAGAGAAUGGUUUAACAAAAAUUAACUUUCUUUAAAUUUAUAAUAGAAGUUGAUUUAAAAAUGAAAAAGUUUUUAUUUAUUUUUGGGACAAGAAGACCCUAUGAAUUUUUUUUUAUAAUUUUAUUUAAACUUUUUAAAUUAGUAAAUGAAAUAUAGAUUAUAAGUUGAUUGGGGUGAUUUUUAAAGAAUAUUUAUCUUUAAAAGUUGAAUAAAUUAGAACCAAAAAUUUUGGUUGUUUGAUUAAAAUACUCUAGGGAUAACAGCGUAAUUAUUUUGGAUAGUUCAUAUAGAUAAAGUAGUUUGCGACCUCGAUGUUGGAUUAAGAUACUAAUAUAAUGAAGCAGUUAUAUAAAGAAGUUUGCUCAACUUUUAAAUUCUUACAUGAUCUGAGUUCAGACCGGCGUAAGCCAGGUUGGUUUCUAUCUAAAUAAUUAAAAGUAAUUUUUAUAGUACGAAAGGAAUUAAUUAUGUAAAUUAUUUAAUUAAUUAGGAUGUGAGUUAGAUUAAUGUAUCUA
rnacentral:rRNA from 1 species